rnacentral:tmRNA from 1 species
GGGGAUGAUUUUGGUUUCGACGGGGAUUUAAACUUGAUAUGUAAAGCACGCGGUGGGGGUGCGUCCACCUUAAAACGAACAAAGCGAAUAAACGCAAACGAAAAUAACAAUGUUGUUUCUAUGAACUCUGUUGCAGUUGCUGCCUAAGUUUGUUGAAAUGACGACUUGAUUGAACUUUUCAAUCUGCUCAACUUCAAACUUGCCAUUUGAAGAUUUGGGUAUCAGAUUCGGCAAAAAUUUUGCAAUGAGAAGUCUUGGCAGUUGCAAAAAAAUUUAAGGACUGGUUUUUGAUACUUGUUUAUGGGUUAAUCAAAAAUGAAAUUCAAGCAUAAACUAAGCGUGUAGAAAAGUGUUGGGUUUUGUUUUCGGACGAGGGUUCAAUUCCCUCCAUCUCCACCA